rnacentral:pre_miRNA from 3 species
GAAGUUGUUCGUGGUGGAUUCGCUUUACUUAUGACGAAUCAUUCACGGACAACACUUUU